rnacentral:rRNA from 1 species
UACAGAGGGUGCAAGCGUUAAUCGGAAUUACUGGGCGUAAAGCGUGCGUAGUCGGUUAUCUAAGUCGGGUGGUGAAAUCCCCGGGCUCAACCUGGGAAUUGCAUUCGAUACUGGAUAGCUAGAGUUCGGCAGAGGGAAGCGGAAUUUCCGGUGUAGCGGUGAAAUGCGUAGAUAUCGGAAGGAACAUCAGUGGCGAAAGCGGCUUCCUGGACCAGAACUGACGAUCAGGCACGAAAGCGUGGGGAGCAAACAGG